rnacentral:hammerhead_ribozyme from 1 species
AUCCAGCAGAGGAGUCUUAAAUGGGACGAAACGCGCGUCCUAGAU